AAACAAAAAGUGCAUGAUAUGCACUCCCUG
rnacentral:tRNA from 2 species